AGAGUUUGAUCCUGGCUCAGAGCGAACGCUGGCGGCAGGCUUAACACAUGCAAGUCGAGCGGGCACUUCGGUGUCAGCGGCAGACGGGUGAGUAACGCGUGGGAACGUACCUUUUGGUUCGGAACAACACAGGGAAACUUACGCUAAUACCGCAUAUGUCCUACGGGAGAAAGCAGGGGACCUUCGGGCCUUGCGCUAUCAGAUGAGCCUAGGUCGGAUUAGCUAGUUGGUGGGGUAAUGGCUCACCAAGGCGACGAUCCGUAACUGGUCUGAGAGGAUGAUCAGUCACACUGGAACUGAGACACGGUCCGGACUCCUACGGGAGGCAGCAGUGGGGAAUAUUGGACAAUGGGCGAAAGCCUGAUCCAGCCAUGCCGCGUGUGAAGAAGGUCUUCGGAUUGUAAAGCACUUUAAGUUGGGAGGAAGG
rnacentral:rRNA from 1 species